UACGAAGGGGGCUAGCGUUGCUCGGAAUCACUGGGCGUAAAGGGUGCGUAGGCGGGUCUUUAAGUCAGGGGUGAAAUCCUGGAGCUCAACUGAGGAAGUGCGCCCGAAACUGCAGAGCUUGAGUACCGGAGAGGGUCUCGGAAUUCCCCAAGUAGAGGUGAAAUUCGUAGAUAUCUGGAGGAACACCGGUGGCGAAGGCGGCAUCCUGGACCGGUAUUGACGCUGAGGCGCGAAAGCCAGGGGAGCAAACGGG
rnacentral:rRNA from 1 species